UUUUCGUAGGUGAACCUGCGGAAGGAUCAUUAUUGUAUAACCGAGGUGCGAGGGCUGUCGCUGACCCGAAAGGUCGUGCACGCCCGAGUGCCCUCACACACAUCCAUCUCACCCCUAUGUGCACCACCGCGUGGGUCCCCCUUUGGCUUGUUCGGAGGGGGGCUUACGUUUUCACACAAACUUUGUAUGCAGUGUAGAAUGUAUUUUUUGUUUUUGCGAUCACGCAAUCAAUACAACUUUCAACAACGGAUCUCUUGGCUCUU
rnacentral:misc_RNA from 1 species